CUGGAACUGAGAUACGGUCCAGACUCCUACGGGAGGCAGCAGUGGGGAAUAUUGGACAAUGGGCGAAAGCCUGAUCCAGCUAUGCCGCGUGAGUGAAAAAGGCCUU
rnacentral:rRNA from 1 species